rnacentral:rRNA from 1 species
AAGGUAGCGAAAUUCCUUGUCGGGUAAGUUCCGACCUGCACGAAUGGCGUAACGACUUCCCCACUGUCUCGACCAGGAGCUCGGCGAAAUUGCAGUACGAGUAAAGAUGCUCGUUAAGCGCAGAAGGACGAAAAGACCCCGGGACCUUUACUAUACCUUGGUAUUGGCGUUAGGCGCGGAUUGUGUAGCAUAGGCGGGAGGCUUCGAAGCAUGGGCGCCAGCCCGUGUGGAGCCGCAAGGUGAAAUACCGCUCUGUUCUCGUUUGACGUCUAACCUCGAACAGUCAUCCUGUUCAGGGACAGUGCCUGGCGGGUAGUUUAACUGGGGCGGUUGCCUCCCAAAGAGUAACGGAGGCGCUCAAAGGUCCGCUCAGCCCGGUUGGCAAUCGGGUUUCGAGUGUAAUCGCACAAGCGGGCUUGACUGCGAGAACGACGGUUCGGGCAGGGACGAAAGUCGGAGAUAGUGAUCCGGUGCCGGCGCACGGGCGCGGCAUCGCUCAACGGAUAAAAGGUACCCCGGGGAUAACAGGCUGAUCAUUCCCAAGAGUCCAUAUCGACGGGAUGGUUUGGCACCUCGAUGUCGGCUCGUCGCAUCCUGGGGCUGGAGCAGGUCCCAAGGGUUCGGCUGUUCGCCGAUUAAAGCGGCACGCGAGCUGGGUUCAGAACGUCGUGAGACAGUUUGGUCUCUAUCCUCUGCGCUCGUUGGAAUCCUGAGGAGGCCUGCCCAUAGUACGAGAGGACCUGGGUGGACGGACCUCUGGUAUGCCGGUUGUCGCGCCAGCGGCAUGGCCGGUUGGCUACGUUCGGGAGGGAUAACCGCUGAAAGCAUCUAAGCGGGAAGCCUGCUCCAAGAUUAGGAUUCCUUGACGCUCCCCGGAGCGUUUGUAGCCCGCAUGUUGAACACGUGUUCGAUAGGCCGGAGGUGGAAGCCCCGCGAGGGGUGGAGCCGACCGGUACUAACGGGCGAACGCGGCACACU